CACGUAGGGACCGAGCGUUGUCCGGAUUUAUUGGGCGUAAAGAGCUCGUAGGCGGUUCGGUAAGUCGGGUGUGAAAACUCUGGGCUCAACCCAGAGACGCCACCCGAUACUGCCGAGCUGGAGUUCGGUAGGGGAGAUCGGAAUUCCUGGUGUAGCGGUGAAAUGCGCAGAUAUCAGGAGGAACACCGGUGGCGAAGGCGGAUCUCUGGGCCGAUACUGACGCUGAGGAGCGAAAGCGUGGGGAGCGAACAGG
rnacentral:rRNA from 1 species